rnacentral:rRNA from 1 species
GACGAACGCUGGCGGCGUGCUUAACACAUGCAAGUCGAACGGAAAGGCCCUGCUUUUGUGUGGUUCUCGAGUGGCGAACGGGUGAGUAACACGUGAGUAACCUGCCCUUGACUUUGUGAUAACUUCUGGAAACUGGGGCUAAUACCGGAUAGGAGCUCCUGCUGCAUGGGGGGGGUUGGAAAGUUUCGGCGGUUGGGGAUGGUUUCGCGGGUUAUCAGCUUGUUGGGGGGGUAGGGGCUUACCAAGGCUUUGACGGGUAGCCGGCCUGGGAGGGUGACCGGCCACAAGGGGACUGAGAUAGGGACCAGACGCCUACGGGAGGCAGCAGUGGGGAAUAUUGCAGAAUGGGCGGAAGCCUGAUGCAGCAACGCCGGGUGCGGGAAGAAGGGCUUCGGGUGGUAAACCGAUGUCGACGGUGACGAAGCGUGAGUGACGGUAAUGGGUAAAGAAGCACCGGCUAACUACGUG